UUGGCCAGCUGAAUAUGUGGAGCUUGUUGCCUGCUAGUCGCUGAUACUAACGAUCAGUUGGCCGCCUGUGUUUGUUUGCCUCAGACUCAUUUCGAAUUCACACGAGCAGUGGCUGUGUACGCGCGCCGGUACGGUACUCGAAUCGCUGUUUUAUGGUACUCUACUACCAAACGUGGCCGUUUAUACUGAUAUAUUUGCUGUGCCUAGUGCCUCACCGCCCAACGCCUACAAAUUGGCCGAACGUUUGUUAAAAGUUUGAAAAAUCGAGUAAAAGCAGUGCCUGCCGCGCACCCCUCGGCGUAUGAUCGCCGCGAUAUUCAAUUACUGAUACGCCACGUUGGGGGGAAUACCUGCAAACCGCUAUGUUUGAGCUACAAAAAUAAAUAAUUACAUAGAUCUGUACAUAUACAUGUACAACGUAUGUAUCUAUAUGUGUAUGUGUGUGUAAGGUACAACAAUAACCGCAGCAACAACCGUCGCCACGCAGUCAUCACCGCGGAUCGUGUCCGGCGUUAAUUUCUGACUAAGAUUACCUCACAGCACAAUUGCAAUUGGAACGUGCGGCGCUGCGGUGCGGCACGCAGGGGUGCAUUUCACGGUUCGCGUAGUUAGAAUUUGCCGAUUCCGACGACCGACGAUUGUCUAUGCUUACGGUGGUGUGCCUAAUUUGUUUGUUAUUGUGUUUUUCCUUUGAAUGUUUUUGUUUGCGCGACUACAGUGUUGUGAAAAAAAUAGCAUAAUGUGGAAAUAAUAAAAAAUAAUAUCAGUGAAUGAAAAAAUAAAUCCAGUGAGUGGCUGCGACACAAACCAUAAAACUGCGUCUCUCUACAAAGUCUGCUCUCCUCUUGAGCGGAAAUGUAGUGCCCGGCUCCGCAAGCCCUGCAACGCGUACUUACUUAGCUGACCGCCGCUUUACCAGCAGCCAGCCCACCUGACAGUCGCAAGCGCCCGUAUACACACACUCGCAUGCAUGCGCUGCAGUCUCGCUCUUGUGUUCGUUCGCUCGCCAACGCCACCACCGUUAUUUGAGUGCAUCGGCGGCGCGCUGCUUAUCAAUGCGCGCUUCAAUGCCGUCAAUUAAAAAAAACGCCAUUCAAAUUUGUCGUCACCGCAAUGCCAAACGCUUUUAAGUGCUACAACAACAACAGCAAUAAUAAUAAUACAAAUUGUUUAUAGAAAGUCGGCGGAAAAGCUGAGAAGAGUCGCGCAAACACAAAUUCAACGCUUCGCUCAACCGAGUGCGCCUCUCUAUAUGUAAAUAUCAUACCGAUGGUACAUAAUAGUAUGCCUUUGUAUGUAUCCGCGUAUGUGUGCUUUUGUAAAUUAAUUUUAAGUGCAUAAAUUGUUUUCUUGCGUUGUUGUGUGUUUUCUGUUUUUUUGUUGGUUGAAAAUGCAUACCCGCAUACGUGCACCGUCUUUGCCGCAACUUUGCUCUGCGCAUACACCACCCUCCACGCCUUGCACGCCGCCCAUCUACGGCAGCGUUGGCAACUUCGCCAACUUUGGCAACUCGAGCACGACGCUGCAUUCGCCAUUCUCAGCGUCGUCCAUCUCGCUAUCGCCUAAAUUCCCAGCGAAUUAUGUCAGAAGCGAAAAGAUAAAGCUCAAAAAAGUGCUCGGCCUCACAGUUUGCAGCAAUGCCGCCUUGGAUGUUUCGCCCGUUAGCGGUCUCUUAGCCUAUCCAGCAGGCUGCACUGUGGUCCUGUUCAAUGCGAAACGCCAAACACAGGCCUACCUGGUCAACACAUCCCGCAAACCAUUCACAUCGGUCGCAUUCUCACGCUGCGGCCGUUAUGUCGCCACCGGCGAGUGUGGUAUCAAUCCCGCCAUCAAAGUUUGGGAGCUAGACUCGCCGAAUGGCAAUCUCGAGCACACCACCGGCGGCAAUGUGGUGGCGGAAUUCUUCGAUCACAAAUAUGCCGUCACAUGUGUGGCCUUCUCACCCACCGGCAAGUACCUGGUAUCGAUCGGUUCACAGCACGAUAUGAUUGUGAAUGUAUUCGACUGGCGGUCGAAUCAAAAGAUGGCCUCAAAUAAAAUCAGCUCCAAAGUGUCGGCGCUAAGCUUUGCCGAGGAUGGCAGCUACUUUGUCACAGUGGGCAAUCGUCAUGUCAAAUACUGGUAUAUGGAGGGUGGACGCAGGUACAAGGAUCCCAUACCGUUGAUGGGUCGCAGUGCCAUAUUGGGUGAUUUGCGUGACAAUGACUUCUGUGCGGUCGCCUGCGGCAAGGAUGAGACUAAGGAUCGCACCUACGCCAUUACCCGACAGGGUCAUUUGGUUGAGUUCAGUUCGCGCCGUUUGUUGGACAAAUGGGUGCAAUGUCGUACAACGAGUGCCAAUUGUCUAACGGUGAAUUCGCGCUUCAUACUCGUCGGUUGUGCCGAAGCCAUUAUACGCAUUUUUAAUGCCGCCACAUUGGAAUAUGUGACGACAUUGCCGCGUACACAUUAUCUGGGUGUGGAUGUGGCGCAGGGUAUACAUAUCAAUCACAUCAUGACCGUACCACCGCAUGCCAAAUAUCCGGAUUGUGUGGCGAUGGUUUAUGAUGAGCAGCGAUCGAAGGUCAGUUGCGUGUACAAUGAUCAUUCGCUCUAUAUUUGGGAUAUGCGGGAUAUAAAACGUGUGGGCAAAUCGCACUCUUUUCUCUAUCAUUCCACCUGCAUUUGGGGCGUGGAAACUGUGCCAUACAAUAUGGAGCGCGAAUUGUCGGAUACACUGCCCGAAGAGUCGUUUGUCACGUGCUCCUCGGACGAUACGAUUCGCGUGUGGGGUCUUGAUGGCUGCACAAACACGGAAAAUUAUCGUAAAAAUAUCUACUCUAAGGAACUGUUGAAAAUUAUGUACAUCGACGAAGAAAUGAACUUUAUCAAGGAUCAAGAUCUUUCGGGCGAUAAAAACUCCAAUACCGCCUAUGACGGUCGCAAUGGUGUACGCUGCAUACGAAUUAGUCCGGAGUUGCAGCAUUUGGCCAGCGGCGAUCGUUGCGGCAACAUAAGAAUCUAUAAUUUGGCGAACACAAAGUUAAUCAUGUCAAUUGAAGCACACGAAUCGGAAGUGCUGUGUCUUGAGUACUCGAAUGAGAAGAUCGAACGAAAGUUGUUGGCGAGCGCGAGUCGCGAUCGUUUAAUACACGUAUUCGAUGUAUCACAAGAUUACUUGCUGCUGCAGACAUUGGACGAUCACUCGUCCUCCAUAACUUCGAUCCGAUUUGUGGGAUCCGGUCUGAAUUUCCAGAUGAUUUCUUGUGGUGCCGACAAGUCGAUUAUGUUCAGAACAUUCCAGGGCAACAUUUUCCUGCGCGGCACAAAUACCUCUGGCAAAACAACGUUGUAUGACAUGGAAGUGGACUCAAAUGCCAAACACAUACUCACCGCCUGCCAAGAUCGCAACAUACGCGUCUAUGGCACACAAAACGCCAAACACACAAAAACCUUCAAGGGUUCACACUCGGACGAGGGUAGUUUGAUUAAGCUCAGCCUCGAUCCCAGCGGCAUUUAUGUGGCCACCUCGUGCACAGAUAAAACGCUUGCAGUCUACGAUUACUAUUCCAAUGAGUGUAUGGCACGCAUGUAUGGCCACAGUGAGUUGGUCACUGGGCUCAAAUUUACCAACGACUGCCGCCAUCUCAUCUCGGCCAGCGGUGAUGGCUGUAUUUUUGUGUGGCAAGUGCCACACGAUAUGAUUGUCACAAUGCAAGCGCGUCUCUCACAACAGCGACUACGUUCUGGUCAUGCCCCACUACCACCCCGUCCCGGUUCAAUUAUCGCCACGCCGGAGGGCAUCAUAGUCGAAUCGCCAACACAUGAAAUGGAGGAGACGGCAACGCCACACAAAUUCAUCGCAUCGCCGUCAAUGUUCACCGAAGAGCCGGCACUGACGCCGGGCUAUAAAUUUUCGGAUGUGGGACAAUUACCGCAGUGGGCGAAACGAAAGGCUGCAGCAAAUGCUGAUGAGAGCGUUGGCGUUUCCAUACCUGGCUCAACCGUCUCCGCCAUGCAGUCUGCCUCGUCAACAUCCAAUUUGAGUUCAUCACCGAGUCAAUUAGGUGUUGGUGGUGUGCCGCGUGCGCGUGGCCGUUGGGCACAACGUGGCCCAUUCGAUCCGGACGAUCUGCGUUCAAAUUCGGAAAGUCCUUUGGGCACUAUAACCUCGAGCGUUGGUGGUAUGGGCGGCGUGGGUGGUGGUGUUGGUGUCGUUGUGAGUGGCGGUGGCAUGGGCAAUACACAAACAUCCGACUAUAAUAGCGCAUCGUCCAAGGACAUAAUGUAUAACCAGACUUACCUCAGUGAAGAUUCGUCAAUUGAUUCGGGCAUGGAAACGCGUCGCGAAUUGAAAUUCAUUGGUAGCAAUAAUAGCGGUACAGUGCCAACGGUGACCGGCAGCAAUGGUGGCACAGCGCCCAAUCGCUUGGCGCCUGAGAAACGCAAGCCCGGUUUGCGUUUCGAUCCACAAUCCAAUGAGCAUGAUGGCGAUGUCGAGGAUAUUUCGGAUGGCGAACGCACCAGUUCAGAUCACGGCAUGUUCUACAACAACAUAUCGCCCAGCACGCCAACUGACUUCAAAGUGACCGCCAUGAAUGAAGAUGAACUGCGCAAGUCGAUGCGUAGACAGAAAUUCGAUAAAGCUGGGCUGACGCUGCCCGGCAAUGGCAGCACACACACCGCCAGCACUGGCACCGGCACCGGCACCUCGGACACCGAAGACGAAGGCUCAACACCGAGCGCUGAGAAUGCCGAGCGUUCGCUGGCGUCCACCUUAGGCGGCAGCUCGGAGAGUAUACCACAAGCGGCAAGCAGUUUCCUGCAGGCCGCCUUGCCCGAGGGUCCUGGCAGCAUGCUAGAGCGUGGCAGCACAAAUCGCCGCAGUAUUAGUGCCAAACAUAAUACAGAGAACGGUAAACCUGUUUCCAGCGCGUCCACUAUCACCAAGUCGUUCACAAGCACGAAGAAGGACGAGCUGCUGAAGGUGAUCAGCGAAGUGAAACAGCAAUUGGAAAAUGUCGGCUAUCGCUCGCUGCGUGGCAGUCACAGCAUUUCGGAUCUAAGUCUAGCGGGCAAUAUGGAUAAUGCGUCGCGAUCGGCGGCCGCCGCUAACCGUUAUGCGAAGACAGGCAAUCCGAAGAGUCUGCUUCCAAUGCCAGUCGAAGACUCCUCUAUGCGCCGCUCCUGUUCUCUUAGCGACUUGCAUAUGGGAAACCUUGGCAAAUCUGGCAAGUCAAACGGCAGUCAAUUGAAAAAUCCCGGUGUGGUUUAUCGCAACAGUACAACAACAAGAUCGGCGAAUAAGCGCAAUAGUUUGCAGCUGAAGAGCUCUGCUGUAGGUUUGGGUGCAUCAAGUUCAUCCAUUGGUGUGCUAAAUCAAGCGAGCGAUUCGGAAAACGAAGACAGCAAUCGUGGCCGAAGCAGUGGCAACAACCAAAAUCGCAGCAAUGGACCCACGGCCGCCAAUCGUCAGUAUGCCAACAAGAAUUCGAAUGCUAACAACAAUCGACGAAAAGGCUUACAGCCAAAUUUCAGUAAUGCCGCGCCACUACAAGAUGACUCUAGCUCCGAGGAGACACCCGCCGGCACGUCCAACUCCAAACCAAUAGUGCCACCACGCCCGCGCAAUUUGACCUUCGAUCACAAGAGCAAAGUGCUCAACAGUCCGAAUGUGAUGAAACAGCGUGGCGCAUUUGAGGCGCCUGAAUUUGGCGCACUGGAUGCCAGUGAUCCGAAAUCCCAAGUGCACAAUGUGAUCAACAAUUUGUAUACAACAACACAAACAGUCAUGCAACUGCAUGCGAAUCUGAAGAAUUGUGAGGACUCGCUGAUGCUAAAAGAACUGGAGAACGCUGUGAUUAUGACACAAAACAUGUUGACAAACAUUACACAAAAUAAUACUGACUCUUCGAAUCAUGUCAGACCUAUAUAAAGCUAUUAAGCCACUUUCCUGGAGUCUAUCUGGUGCAUUGGCGCCAAACAAAACUUUUAACUGUUUUUGGAAAAUCUUUUAUAAACCUACGCUAUUACUAAUGUGGACUGAAAGUGCAACACCAAAAUAUUAGUUAGUUUGCCAUUGCGAAAAUUGCAAAAAGGAAGUUAAAAUACCAAGCUUAUGAAAGUCAUUAAAUGAAGCCUUCAAAAAUCUUCGUUAUUUGCACUUAAAAAAUUCCGUGUUGAAUUCAUUUGCCAAAUUCCGCUGCCAAAUUUCCACUUUGGUUGAGUAUUUAAGGAAAAACGACAAAAACAAUUCACAACAUAGUCACGCCUACACAACCACUGAACAGGCGAAUCUAGACAACGGCGACUACCUAAUGAUGGUGAACAAUUGCGCCGAUCUUUUAAGCAAUUUCCGUAUGAAGCACAAACUCGAUGACUGUGAGAAUAACUCCUAGUGUAGUAAUAGCGGCACUAGCAGCACUGGCGGAGCAUCCAGCACAUAAAUCAAGAAAGCAGCAAAAAUGCCGAGAAAUAUAUUGCAGCAGAAUAAAAUGAUAAAUAAAUGAAUAAAUAAAGGCAGCCAAAAUAAUAAAUGAAACUAAACGCAAGAAACAUAAAAUGAAAGUGAGAAGCGCGAAAUAAAAGCGAGCAAACGAAAGCGAUAAGCAAGUGUCUGAAUGUGUCAACUCCAUUUUGGAGCUUUACUAAUAAGCAUACUAAUAAUAAUAAUUCAACUAAAAUUAAUGAGUUAUGUAAGAGCUAAAUAAAUUUUUAGGUUAUGUUCUUAGAAUUUGUAAGCGAAAAAGUGAAAGAUUGCAGUGCGUUGUAUGUGUAGUUGUAGACUUUAAUUAAUUUCACUUCAACUAAAGCGCUGUAAUUGUAACGAGACACCAACAACUAAUAUUUAAUAAACAACAAACUAAAAAUAAUAAAAAAAUAAUACAAAAUAGGCCUAAAAUGUAAGUGAAAAGCAUAAUUUAAGGCGCACAUGCGCGCUGUGCAAAAACUAAAAGCGAGUAUAAUAAAAAAGUGAUUUGCUUAAUACAUACAUACAUACUUAUUUACUGGCUUGCAAACAGCAAAGCAAAAGUUGUGUUUAAACAUAUUUAAUUUUUUGUAAUUUUUUUUAUGAAAUUAAAAAAAACGACUAACUGUUAUAUUCUGCCUUAUUUAAUUGCACACACACACAGACACGCAUACACGUACAUAAAAGUUCGUUUGUUGUGCGAUAGACAUAUAACUGUACGCAAUGGCUUAGUGAGUUUGUAAUUUGUUUGUUAAGUUUGCCGCUGUUUGUAUAUGUAUUUGUAAGUUGUAAGUUUUGUUAAGCGUUUAACCUUAAGUUUAAUGCUAUUUAGUUAAAUUUGUACUCUAAUACACGCAUACAUGUUUGUAGUAUAUGGUAUGUGCACACAAAUAACGGUGUAUGUUUAGAAUUUAUAGUCGUGCGCUCGUAAAGGCGUACGCUUAACGAAGUGUGGCCAAUCGCUGAUGGCUGUAGACAGCGCCAAAUGCCCACACACACACAUAUAACUCCACAAUUAAGUGCGUUUACGGUUAAUUUACGAUUUGUGUUAAUUGCCUUUACACUUUUUAUGCCUAAGUUAAGUUUAAGUGUUUAAUUGAAAUUUGUUUCACAAGCUGUGGGAAGUCGUACCCAGUUGUAUAUGUGAUUGCUACGAAAAAAGAAAUGAGCGCAAGAAAAAAAUGAGCUCAAGAAAAAAAUUGAGAGAAGCUCAGAAAAAGCUAAACAACAUUUUUGGUAAGAAAAAUUUUCAAUUGUUCAAUUCACAACCUGUCGUAAAGCAUCGUAAAAUUAUAAAAAAAAAAAAA
rnacentral:misc_RNA from 1 species